GCAUCUCUCUCUCUUUCCCUCUCCCCCACCCCACAUCUCCCCCCUCCAUCUGUGUAUAUAACAGUAUCUCCAUGCUUUCACACACACCACUCAGUUCAGCGUUGCAGAUGGGAUGGACACAGAGUGCAGGAGCAAACCACCAAAUAGUAAAUCAGUGUGACUGAGACACAUAAUACCACUCCUUCCCAGUGGCAGUGUCUAUGCAAAAUGGGUUGUGGCAAUUCCUCAGUCGCCAGCACCUCAGGAGGGGGACCUGCAGAAACCUCCAAAGAUUUGUAAGUACAGCAGAGAGAGAGAGAGAGACUAAAUUCAAAAUGGGCUAUUACACUGGCCUUAUGGAUAUUACAUUGCAAGACCUCAAAACACCUACUGUCAUGUAAUCAAAUUAAAAUGUUCAGUCUUUUGUAUCAAGGCCUUCAAAUAUUUUGCCUAUAGCAUAUUAAUGUGUAGAGAAAUGAAUACAUGUUCCAGAACUGCUAUUACAAUGAAUUAGUCCUGUUCAGUAAAUCAAAGGAACAGUCAUUUUCCAUUCAAGGCAAAUUGCAUGAAUUAUGUUAUAAAGGGAACAUACGUCUUCACUAGGCACGGUGAGCCACCUCCAUCAUCGUGGCGUGGGAAGGGAGAGCAGGCACCCAUUUCCAAAACAUUUUCUUGAAUCAACUUGUGUGUGUGUGUGGUGUGUGUGCUUUCUGAUAAACAUCUGAGCAGCUACAGUGCUUAAUCCAGGACCAAUGGGGACUGACAGCAGCACACUGCCAACCACGGCCAGUCAGUCACACAGCUCCCCAGGGUUCAGCACUGCAACACAACACACCUCUAGUCCUGCUACACAGACACUUUGACUGGCAGUUCAUGUGUACACUUAUUUUUUCAUGCCUCUUCUAUGGACAGAGAAGAAAGGUAAAUGUGACAAUGUACAUGACAUAGUCCACUAACCAUUUAACCUACAUUCAUUGUAGGUAGGAAACCAUCCAUAUUGUUGAUUCCCUUUUGAUCAGUGCCCUCACAGUGCCAUACCAAGUAUUUCCCUGCAUAUAACCAAGUCCUCCAGGUCAACUCUAUGUCAAUCACUUGUUUGUGUCAUGUUGGGUGUUAUGUAAAAUAUGUUUGAGCAUUGAGCGUUGUAUCAAGUCCUGUGAGCUGAUCUGUGAUUCUUGUCUCAAUCAGGACAGAUGAGUCCUCACCAGACGAUGAGAAAAGAAGGAACUAUGGCGGGGUGUACGUAGGUCUACCAUCUGACAUGACCACCGUUGCAGGCAGCCAGUCCAAGUCCACAGACAAAAUACAGCCUCCAAUCGCUGUCCUUCGAUUAACCAUGGCUUUACAGUAAAAGAGACAACAUCAAGCAAAAAAGGAAAUACUGUACAUGAAAGUCCCUUGAAGACUACAUCUUUCUACCGAUGGACAGUUUUUGUUCUCCGUGUUCAAAGAAAACCCCCACGUCAUCUUCAAACAAAAGUUGGUCUCGGUCAUAAAGGGAGUAGAGAGGAAAAGUUUAGUGUGUGUGUGUGUGAGGGCUGUUUGCACUGAGAUCCUACAAAGCCGUUCUCUAUGACUGCCUGUUGGCCAAAGUUAGCCUCUGAAACUUCAUAAUAACCAAUCCAUUUAUUCUAUUCCUGUCCUCUGGCUCAGUUGCAAAUUUAUAACAUGACUGGGAGGUAUUUGGUUGAACAUUUUAUUGUUUCUAUAGAGCCCUUUGGGAAGGUCACUAUUCUCUGAAUCUGUGUGUGUGUGUGUGUGUGUGUGUGUGUGUGUGUGUCCUAAAAGUGAGUUAAAAGAUAAUCAGCCAAGGACCUUGGUAUGGUGUGUAGAGUCAACUGUCAGCUUCUAUUGACCUUGUUGUUGGUUAUGAGAUGCAGAAAUAACUGCAGAAGUCUAUAAGGUUGUUUGAUGAGCAAAAACAGCCACGGGGAGUCUGCAGAACAUAUGGCAGUUGAUGGUUUAGGAGUUGUGAGACAUCUGAUGCCAGUAGUGUGGCAUCUGUGUCCUUAUUAGAAAGAGAGACUGGGAACCUGAGGGUGGGAAUUCUUGGUAAUGUAGAUUUCCAUGAGGAUGUGGAGGAGCUGUGUGUGUGUGUGUGUGGGAAUAAUAUAAAAGGUUGAAGUAGACAACACAAGGGAAUUUGACUCAAGCCUAAUGUUCACAAUUUUCCUAAUGUUUCUAAUUAUGCCGUCUCUCUUGUUCUCUGUAGACUAACAGAUAUAGAAGGGAAACAUUGACAUGCAUCACAGGACUAAAGCUACAAUAUUCAGAACAUACAGAGACAUUACAUUCCUACGUUGAGAGGAGGAUUACUGACUCAUCCUCACAACCCUGCCUCCGUAAGAGUGAAACAGACUGAAAGACCCUGGGGAAUCAGGCAGAUAUGAGGUCAGCCUGCUUGGGUCCUGAGGAAACUGCCUCAGAAUGGCACCGAGUAGACCCUCAAUAGAUGCCUUUGUCUGAGGAGUCUUUGCCCUUUCUGACCCUCACAGGAAGCCGGGCAGCAGCAGAGAAGUCGGGUGGGUACGGGACGACUGCGGAUAUUGGGACCAACAUUAUGGAAUCCGGGGAAAUGAUCUGGACUAGCUCCUUGUGUUUAGGAAGAGAUGUGACACACACAGCCCAGUCACACAGAGACACCUUCUCGACCGGCUCUGUAAACAUUUAAUCCAAGUGCAUAUAUUGUGGCUGGUGUAGAUAGAUGUUUUAUGUGGUGGGAGGGAUAGUGGACCCACACAGUGGCUCAAACACAAGCAGUGCUAUUCACUUUUAUGGAGUAUUUUAGGUCACCCAGUUUUCAUUUUCUUUUCAGUAUCAGAUACUGUAAAUAAUUUCAGAGAUUCAUGAAAACAACAUUCUAUAACCCAUUUGGAGAUUGUGUUGUGAUAUUUUCUAGUUGGUUGCUGCUAUUUCUUUUUAAACCAUUGCAUUUACUGUCUAAAUACAAAUUGACCUACUUUUGGUACCAAACGGAUGGGGGACCUCCUGUGGGUGUACUGGCUGGUACUGUAGCCUGACUGUACUGUAGCGAGCAUCUGUUGUGUGCGUCAUUCAUGUCUGAGAUUGUUAAGUGUUGUGUUGUGUUGUCAUUUAACCUGUGAAUCAUGCUAACAUGACAUCGUCAGUCUGUAUGGGGCUAAAGAUGCAUUGAGGAUACUACUCUUACAUUUCUUUACCCACAAAGGUCUGAACUGAUCUGAGAUCUGACGUCAUCAGAUUGUUAACAAUGCAUGCAUUAUUACUCCAGGUGCCAGCAGCUGAUCUCAGUGUUCCACAUACAGUAGCUCUUGUUGGCCAUUUUAGCAGCUGCAUCCAGAACUCGUUGUUUUUUACGAAGAGAUAAACUCUCCAACUGCAAUUUGUAAAAUGUUGUCUUUUCUAUUUGUAAAAUUCAAAAAUGAUUCCUUUUGAAAACGAAAUGUACAACUUUUAUUAUAACGGUUAAUUGGAAAGAUGAUCAGUCAAAAAGAAUCUGAACUACAUUGUUUAGCAUAGGUUUGCCUAAACAUAUUUGAAUCUAUAUUUCUCAUUAUGAUCAACUGUAUCAGUGAAUCUAGUUGGAAACCAUAACACAGGCAGCAUAUUCACACACCACAAUAUCUCCCCCAAAGCAUGAAUUAGAAGGGAAUAGAGAAUCCAUCCAAUGUCAUUUAUCUACAUGCAGUUCCUGUUCGUGAUUUAAUGAAUGUAUGAAUGUACAGCAUCUUCACCACCACGACCACAGAGGAACAGGGAAGUAGGCCAUGCUAACCAUAUGCUCACACACUUGAGAUUCAAGAGAUGUUUUAUUCUCUUCAAUACAUCAGUCCGAUUAUAUAUUCUCUACUCCACUCUACCUGGUUUGAGAUAAGAAUAUGGAAUAUACAUAAUAUUUAUAUGGAAUAUACAUAAUAUUUAUAUGGAAUAUAAAUGUAGAUUAUGAAUGCUCCCUGGCGUUCAACCAUCUACUCCGUAAUCUGUGCCAGGCCGCGUGUGAGGUUUAGAAAUGCGAUGGGUACCGAUUAAAGAGCACCCCACAGUUUCUGCUCUGCUACUACACGGCUACCACCGAAAAAUGAAUACAGCCCCUUUUCAUUGAUGUCUACAUUUCCUUUCUGUUGAGGCUCUUCCAGUUUCACCAUCAGAAUCCUCUGGCCUUUGGCUUUCACGGUGCACAGUGCAACGCAGUUCCCACUGGGCAAACACUAGUUGAAUCAACGUUGUUCCACGUCGUUGAAAUUAAUUGGACGUCUGUGCCCAGUGGGUCUGCCUUUUCAUCUGUUCUCUGCUCUAGCCAACUCCUCCACCCUUUACAGACAGUUGUACUGUAACACAAGGGUGAAUGUCACUGAGCUAAUCCUGCUUUAUUCAAUUAGGAAGACUGGGAGGGAAGAGGAUGAAAAAAGGGUAUUCAAAAGCCACACUGGGAAAGGAAAAGUUGCUACAGAAUAUCAACACAGGAGUUGAUAACCAAGCAUAGCUAGCUGUGUACAGAAUGAAUGUAGCUCUUAGGAGGAUGGAGAAAAGGUAUGGGAAAUUGUGUUAAAAAAGCAGCAUCCAUGGAACCCUGGUAUUUUUUACUGUAUUGGGGUUCCUUUAAGCAUUAAGGCAUGAGGGGGGGGCGGUAUAUUGGCCAUAUACCACAGUUACCUUAUUGCUAUUCUAAACUGGUUAUCAACAUAAUUAGAGCAGUAAAAAUAAAUGUUUUGUCAUACCCGUAGUAUACGGUCUGGUAUACCACUGCUGUCAGCCAAUCAGCAUUCAGGGCUCUAACCACCCAGUUUAUAUCAGCAUAUAGCUCAUGGAAGUCUCACUGGUAUACUGUUCAUGGUGCUGCACAUGAUUACGACGACAGGGGAAUUGAUUACUUUGGAGUCAUUUGAGGCUAAAGCAGCUGUGCUGGAGGCUUCUUAUUCUGGAUUUAUCUCCUUGUGUACAUGUGUCCAUAACACAUUUGGGAAAAGAGAAAACACAUGAGAAAACCACUGUAGAUGAUCACUUGAGAACCAAUUGAUGACUUUUUAUGCUAUUUACUACUGUAUGAGAUACUGUUCCUAAUCUUUGAUGCUCCUAACUUGUUCUGGGUCACUUUGUGUACAUACAGUACACCCUUAAACACAGUAAGAAGGAUCACAGCUGCUUUAGAGAGUCAUUCUUGUAUAUAACCCGACAUGCCCUGUAUUACUUGUCCUAUCACUGAUCUAUUUAUGAUUAAAGUAUUUUCUAUUGUCUGUGCA
rnacentral:lncRNA from 1 species